rnacentral:tRNA from 1 species
UCCCUGGUGAUCCAGUGGUUAAGACUCAGCACUUCCAAGGCAGGGGGCUCAGGUUCAAACCCUGGUCAGGGAA